GGCGCCCAGACUCGCGCGCCAGAGGUUGCCCUGGAAACUGUGGAGCGAGAUGCAGUGAGCUGGGCCCCAGGACGCCCCAGCCACCCUGACACACCACCCAACAUCUAUGAGGGAGGAUUGGGGGCCCAGCAGCAGCAGGGCCCCAGUGCUCAGGGAAGCAAGCCCAAGAACUUCCGACUGCGACACCUCCGGAGCCUGGCUCUCUACCUGCCAGGCCACAUGCAGCCUGCUGGCCAAUGUGGAAGCCACUGGCUAGGCCGGCUCAUGGCUGGGGGCAGCCUGACACGGCCUGAAGGCUCACCCUGGCCCCUGGACCUGCCACAGGGGACCCUGGGUCCAGGUUGCAGCAAGGGAGAAGAACUUCUUGUUGGAUGUGAUAUCACGAUACCAUGAGUCUGGGUACCUGAGGGAGAGAGCAUACUCAGAAGAGUCCUAUCCAGUGCCAGAAGAGGAACUGCUGCAGAGGCAACGAGGAGUCUACGCAGAUGGGCCUCACUGUGUCUUCCACCUUCACUCCAUUAGAAGAAGAGAAUACGCUUUGUUUGUCUGACUAUCUCUACACCACAGCCCAUGCUUUGAUGAACGGAAUUCACCAUGGGUAUUUCCAUCCUCAAUCUGAAGGCCCAGGUCAAAUAAAUCUGUUAUUCUCUUCUCCUGCUAA